GGGUGUGCAGGAGAGGCUGAAUUCAGAGGAUGUGGUGUUUAGAACAGGAGAGGUCUGAGCAUGCUGGGUCAGCGGGGCCAGGGACAGCUGAAGCACGCAGGGGCGAAAGAAGUAAGAGUGCAGGGGUGAGUGGCAGAAGAUCUGGUGACCGAAGGUCACAGAGCGGGGCUCUGGAAGAAUGCCAGGCGCCUGGACUGAGGAAGACAACUUGGAAGAGGCUCCUGGGUUCCUUGGCAUGGAGCUGGGCACACAACCAACCCCGAGGACCAGCUGCAAUGGGCAAGGAGGGAGAGAGAUGGGCUUCACGUGCAUGCCAAGCUGCUGGAAAGGAAUCUCUGCACCCAAUGUGGGGCUCAAACU